rnacentral:rRNA from 1 species
GAUGAACGCUGGCGGCGUGCCUAACACAUGCAAGUCGAGCGGAGAUAAGAAGAGUACUUGUACGAAUUUUAUCUUAGCGGCGGACGGGUGAGUAACACGUGAGGAACCUGCCCUUAAGUGGGGAAUAACACCGAGAAAUCGGUGCUAAUACCGCAUAACGUCCCGGGAGCACAUGCACUUGGGACCAAAGGAAUUAUUCGCUUAAGGAUGGCCUCGCGGCCGAUUAGGUAGUUGGUGAGGUAACGGCCCACCAAGCCGACGAUCGGUAGCCGAACUGAGAGGUUGAACGGCCACAUUGGGACUGAGACACGGCCCAGACUCCUACGGGAGGCAGCAGUGGGGAAUAUUGCGCAAUGGGGGAAACCCUGACGCAGCAACGCCGCGUGAAGGAAGAAGGUCUUCGGAUUGUAAACUUCUUUGACGAGGGACGAAAAAAUAGACGGUACCUUGAAACAAGCCACGGCUAACUACGUG